rnacentral:tRNA from 1 species
GCCCCCAUAGCUCAACUGGAUAGAGCGGCUGGCUACGAACCAGUAGGUUGCAGGUUCGAGUCCUGCUGGGGGUA